rnacentral:rRNA from 1 species
UACAGAGGUCUCGAGCGUUGUUCGGAUUCAUUGGGCGUAAAGGGUGCGUAGGCGGCGAGCUAAGUUUGGUGUGAAAUCCUGGGGCUCAACCCCAGAAAUGCACUGAAUACUGGUUUGCUAGAGGACUGGAGAGGAGAUUGGAAUUCACGGUGUAGCAGUGAAAUGCGUAGAUAUCGUGAGGAAGACCAGUGGCGAAAGCGAAUCUCUGGACAGUUCCUGACGCUGAUGCACGAAGGCUAGGGGAGCAAACGGG